GACGAACGCUGGCGGCGUGCUUAGCACAUGCAAGUCGAACGGAAAGGCCCUGCUUUUGUGGGGUGCUCGAGUGGCGAACGGGUGAGUAACACGUGAGUAACCUGCCCUUGACUUUGGGAUAACUUCAGGAAACUGGGGCUAAUACCGGAUAGGAGCUCCUGCUGCAUGGUGGGGGUUGGAAAGUUUCGGCGGUUGGGGAUGGACUCGCGGCUUAUCAGCUUGUUGGUGGGGUAGUGGCUUACCAAGGCUUUGACGGGUAGCCGGCCUGAGAGGGUGACCGGCCAAAUUGGGACUGAGAUACGGCCCAGAAUCCUAAGGGGGGGAGCAGGGGGGAAUAUUGCAAAAUGGGCGGAAGCCUGAUGCAGCAACGCCGCGUGCGGGAUGACGGCCUUCGGGUUGGAAACCGCUUUCGCCUGUGACGAAGCGUGAGUGACGGUAAUGGGUAAAGAAGCACCGGCUAACUACGUG
rnacentral:rRNA from 1 species